UGUGUGUGUGUGUGUGUGUGUGUGUGUGUGUGCUCUCAGAAUUACGGAGUUGUGGACACAUAAGCGGUGUAUAGACCAACGUUGUGGACACAUUUUACAUUGUGGACACCAUAAUUUGGUGUCCACAGUGUACACACAUCUAGUGGCCUACUAUAACCCUACUUAAUAUAUUUAAGGGAAAACUGUAUAACAGCGUUGUGAACCACCCUGAUACACACCGUGUGUAUAGGGCUGGAAAAAUAUGUUGAGUAGACUGUGUGAAGUCACCUCACAUACACACCUAGCGAAUUACGUUAUCUAUAUGGGUCACCUGCAGCUGAUCCUGCUGCAGUGGCUAGCGCGGGUCAGUUUCUUACUGUCUAUGAGAGGCACCAACGGGGUAUAUAACGUGAUUGCAUUAGUAAAUCUAUAUAAGAAACACUAUUCUAUCCUACUGAGCACCCCGUAGUUUUCCCGCAAAAAUGUCAAGAAAACCAAGGCACCAGUAAACCUAGUUUAGUUGCCGAUACUACACCUGGACAUUGGAUCGAUGCCACGGAGGAACUCUAACUGACCACAUGAGAAAGUCUUCGUCGCCUUGUCAAUCAUGCUAAACGUGGUGUAGCAAACGCAACGAUAAAACUGGUCGAUUAAAAUGGAUAGCCACGUC